rnacentral:lncRNA from 1 species
UUACAAUCAUCAGUAUUUCUCUGAAAAAUAAUGGCAGUCACUGGAUUCUUAUUUUUGCAUUGAUAUAAAGCAUUACUUAUUAUAUCAUAAGUUUUGAUGAAAAAUUAAUUACUUAACAGUACAAAUAACUAAAUUUCUAUGUGCUCACAUUACUUUUAUCAAGUCUCCACCUUCCCUAUUUCCUUUAGAAUCAACAACAAAUCACUUAAUUUUUUAUAAUGAUAAAUAACUUAAGAUAGUGGCUCCAGUGA